UUUCCUUCUUUCUUCUUGCUUUUGUGUUCUUCUUCUUUUUCUUCUAUUUAACUUCAACACUCAAUUUCCAUAAACGUGUGUCUCAACACCUAGUUUCCAGCACAUAAAGCAGUUGUCGUGCUUUGAGGUUCAAAUGUGAAUGCGGUCUUAAUGCUUCAUUGAUGAUAGCAUGGACUGAUGUGAAACCAAGUCACAGCUUCUAUGGUUGUGGGAUGUAUAAGACUACAAGAAAUACAGUCAUUUUGUUUGGUUUGA